GGGAUGAAGCAAAGAUGAAACUGCCGGUCAGUAUCUUUACCAGUUUAUCGAAAAUUUGUCUACGAAAUCUAUAUUUGUGAUAGGAACAGCUGAAGUACCAACAGAUAUGACUGAUUUAUAUAUCUCAAAAGACCAUAUAGCUUAUUGUUCUAAUGAAACGAAAAAUAUCCUUUCACAAUAAAUGGAGUUCCAUGCGUCUUUUGAGUAGAUUAUCGGAUCUCUUCCUAAUCCGUGAAGGAUUUGUUGUUAACUACGGGUGCUAUGCCUUGCGUCUACGCACUUUUACAUAAAAUCAUAAUUUUGUAACAAUAUGUAAUUAUAAGAUAAACAGUGGAUAGUGAUUUGAUAACAGUAUGCAGCAAAUACUUUUUACACAAUGUUCCUCAAAUUUGUUUCUUUUUUCAAAAAGAACAUAAUGUUCCUAAAUAACUGUCAUGCCUCUACUAUUGCUUAUAAUCUAUGAUGUACGACGAAUGGUCUUUUGGGGAUUGAGUGGGUAAUUGCUAGUUCGGUUAUUGAAGAAAUUUGGGCUUGGGAUGACUUAUGUAUUAAAAGAAACAUAGCAAAUCUUACCACCUCUUUGACUAUUUUUUGAGUAAUUUGGAAAGAAAGAAUUUCUCGUGCUUUUGAAGGUGUUGAGAGUAGUUUGUAUAAAUUGAAAGAGAGAUUGAUUCAUUAUCUUGGGUUUAUUUUAUUAGAUUAUGAUAUUAUUAGUGAUGAAAAUUUUAUAAAUGUUAUUAAUAUACUAACACUAUUAUAAAUCUCUUGUCAUGAGUGAUAUCCCCUAUUAAUACCUUAUUAAUAUAUACUGCAUACUUUUUAUCUCCAAAAAAAAAAAAAUGUCAUUACAAAGCUACUGUAGGAUGCAUGGUGUAUCCGAGGUGUUAACAUCUCAAGUGGAAUUACAAAUCGGGUACCUUGAUUUGAAAUUUUAAAUCAAUCAAGAAAUAUUCCGAAGAGCAAGUAAGAAAAGAACUCAACGUAGGAGACAAUGUUGCAAUAAUUAGAUCCUCAUGAUAUCCGAAAGAGGAACUUGUCAUCCUAGAAACUUGGCAUAUCUUCUACUAACAGCUUGAACGUGCAACUUCAGUUUUCUUGACUUCUGUCUUUCUUUUGUUUCUUUUGUACAGGUUCUGAUGCAGUGGCAUCUUAACAGAUCCGCUUCUGUCCCGAUUUUCUUUCGUCCUUUACGAAAACUUAAAAUGGCUGUAAUUUGCUUCUCAUGUGUUGAAAAAAGUCUUUAUCUGGUUUGUUUGUGUUGUACUUUUAAAUAAUAGGUUUAUAACAUUGGGUGCACGCAUAAGCUUUGCUUUACCCUCUCCAUCUAUCACUUGGCCUGCAACCAAGUGUUUUAAACUAUCCUCGUGGAAUGUCAUUAUUUUGUGGGUAAACAAAUUAAAUAAUUGUGGAAUUGGGGUGGGGGAAAAUCUUCCUGUUUGUUUUAUAAUUUUUCUUUUCUAAGCAAGUUUAGGUUUUUGCAUAUAGUGACGUUUCUUCUUAUUUCUCUCCCUCCCCCAACAAAUUUUCCCCUCAAUUUUCAGUGAAUAAGAUGCUCGCUUUUAGGGUUGAAAGGGG
rnacentral:lncRNA from 1 species